UGCUGCUGCUGGCGGUCUGCAUCGCUGGACUCUUCAUCUGGAGGAGGAACAAUAACGGGGGGCAGUGAACAUAGAAGAGGAUGCUGAACUCCACAACUUAUCGUCUCAGAGGACUUUACAAUCUGUACAACAUAUAUUUCAUUAUUAUUAUUGUUAUUAUUAUUAUUUUUAUAUUCCUGGAAGUGAGAUCAAAAAUCGAUUUUACAAGGGAGAACUUAAUUCUUAAUUCUUAAGUACGGUAAAAGUAACAAUAACAAAUACUCCAAAUUAAGUAAAAGCUUUCAAUGUAUGUGUUUUUGUAUGUAAAAUAUUAAUCUGAAUGCUAACUAUAGUUGUAAAUAACUGAUGGAGUAAAAUGUAUAUUAUUCAAGUAUGAAUUAGCAAAAAAUGGAAAUACUCAAGUAAAGUAUAUGAACCUCAAAACUGGAUUUAAGUACUUUAGUAAAUGUAAUAAAUUAUUUUCCACCUUUGUACAA